rnacentral:rRNA from 1 species
ACGCUCGACACCUACGGGAGCAGCAGUGGGGAAUAUUGCACAAUGGGGGAAACCCUGAUGCAGCAACGCCGCGUGAAGGAAGACGGUUUUCGGAUUGUAAACUUCUGUUCUUAGUGAAGAUAGUGACGGUAGCUAAGGAGCAAGCCACGGCUAACUACGUGCCAACAGCCGCCGGGUAAGUACUGAGCGGGCGUGGCGAAGGCG